UCCGAGUUGACCCCGGCAGUCUCCUAUGAGUCCCCACCAUCACGUGCUGGCAACAUACGACGAGGGUUGCGCUCGUUGCGGGACUUAACCCAACAUCUCACGACACGAGCUGACGACAGCCAUGCACCACCUGUGCACUGGUCCCGAAGGAAGGCCGUAUUUCUACGGCUUUCCAGUGCAUGUCAAGCCCAGGUAAGGUUCUUCGCGUUGCGUCGAAUUAAACCACAUGCUCCGCUGCUUGUGCGGGUCCCCGUCAAUUCCUUUGAGUUUUAGCCUUGCGGCCGUACUCCCCAGGCGGGGCACUUAAUGCGUUAGCGCCGACACGGGGGGAGUCGACACCCCCCACAUCUAGUGCCCAUCGUUUACGGCUGGGACUAC
rnacentral:misc_RNA from 1 species